rnacentral:rRNA from 1 species
UACGUAGGUGGCAAGCGUUGUCCGGAUUUACUGGGCGUAAAGAGCGCGCAGGCGGUCGUCCAAGUCGCGUGUGAAAGCCCCCGGCUCAACUGGGGAGGGUCACGCGAUACUGGUCGACUCGAAGGCAGGAGAGGGUAGUGGAAUUCCCGGUGUAGUGGUGAAAUGCGUAGAUAUCGGGAGGAACACCAGUGGCGAAGGCGGUUCUCUGGGACGGUACUGACGCUGAGACGCGAAAGCGUGGGGAGCGAACAGG